AACGCUAGCUACAGGCUUAACACAUGCAAGUCGAGGGGCAGCAUGGUCUUAGCUUGCUAAGGCCGAUGGCGACCGGCGCACGGGUGAGUAACACGUAUCCAACCUGCCGUCUACUCUUGGACAGCCUUCUGAAAGGAAGAUUAAUACAAGAUGGCAUCAUGAGUCCGCAUGUUCACAUGAUUAAAGGUAUUCCGGUAGACGAUGGGGAUGCGUUCCAUUAGAUAGUAGGCGGGGUAACGGCCCACCUAGUCUUCGAUGGAUAGGGGUUCUGAGAGGAAGGUCCCCCACAUUGGAACUGAGACACGGUCCAAACUCCUACGGGAGGCAGCAGUGAGGAAUAUUGGUCAAUGGGCGAGAGCCUGAACCAGCCAAGUAGCGUGAAGGAUGACUGCCCUAUGGGUUGUAAACUUCUUUUAUAAAGGAAUAAAGUCGGGUAUGGAUACCCGUUUGCAUGUACUUUAUGAAUAAGGAUCGGCUAACUCCGUGCCAGCAGCCGCGGUAAUACGGAGGAUCCGAGCGUUAUCCGGAUUUAUUGGGUUUAAAGGGAGCGUAGAUGGAUGUUUAAGUCAGUUGUGAAAGUUUGCGGCUCAACCGUAAAAUUGCAGUUGAUACUGGAUAUCUUGAGUGCAGUUGAGGCAGGCGGAAUUCGUGGUGUAGCGGUGAAAUGCUUAGAUAUCACGAAGAACUCCGAUUGCGAAGGCAGCCUGCUAAGCUGCAACUGACAUUGAGGCUCGAAAGUGUGGGUAUCAAACAGGAUUAGAUACCCUGGUAAUCCCCACGGUAAAACGAUGAAUACUCGCUGUUUUGCGAUAUACUGCAAGCGACCAAGCGAAAUCAUUAAGUAUUCCACCUGGGGAGUACGCCGGCAACGGUGAAACUCAAAGGAAUUGACGGGGGCCCGCACAAGCGGAGGAACAUGUGGUUUAAUUCGAUGAUACGCGAGGAACCUUACCCGGGCUUAAAUUGCAGAUGAAUUACGGUGAAAGCCGUAAGACGCAAGGCAUCUGUGAAGGUGCUGCAUGGUUGUCGUCAGCUCGUGCCGUGAGGUGUCGGCUUAAGUGCCAUAACGAGCGCAACCCUUGUUGUCAGUUACUAACAGGUUCCGCUGAGGACUCUGACAAGACUGCCAUCGUAAGAUGUGAGGAAGGUGGGGAUGACGUCAAAUCAGCACGGCCCUUACGUCCGGGGCUACACACGUGUUACAAUGGGGGGUACAGAGGGCCGCUACCACGCGAGUGGAUGCCAAUCCCCAAAACCUCUCUCAGUUCGGACUGGAGUCUGCAACCCGACUCCACGAAGCUGGAUUCGCUAGUAAUCGCGCAUCAGCCACGGCGCGGUGAAUACGUUCCCGGGCCUUGUACACACCGCCCGUCAAGCCAUGGGAGCCGGGGGUACCUGAAGGGCGUAACCGCGAGGAGCGCCCUAGGGUAAAACUG
rnacentral:rRNA from 1 species